rnacentral:rRNA from 1 species
CAUCGCCUCCCGAUAAAACAUGGGAGGUCCUGCCUGCCCAGUGAUUUUUAACGGCCGCGGUAUUUUAACCGUGCAAAGGUAGCGCAAUCACUCGUCCUUUAAAUAAGGACUAGUAUGAACGGCCACACGAGGGCUGCACUGUCUCCUUUUCCCUGUCAAUGAACCUGGCCUUCCAGUGAAGAGACUGGAAUACACCCAUAAGACGAAAAGACCCCAUGGAGCUUUAGAUAAACACUACGCACCCAUAAAUUUAAGCGCUAGCACACUUAUCUUCGGUUGGGGUGACCACGGAGAAAAAUAAACCCUCCACGACAACAAGCCUAAACACACAACCUCAAGCAUCAAUAUCUUGACACUUCUGACCCAAUAAUAAUUGAUCAACGAACUAAGUUACCCUGGGGAUAACAGCGCAAUCCAUUUCAAGAGCUCAUAUCAACAAAUGGGUUUACGACCUCGAUGUUGGAUCAGGGUAUCCUAGUGGUGCAACCGCUACUAAAGGUUCGUUUGUUCAACGAUUAAAACCCUACGUG